GCACUAAACAAAGCUAAACAUCAAAAUAUUUCUUUUUCUUUUAAUGAUAGAAGGUACCCAAGCUAAUCUCUAACCAUAAAAGAAGAUGUUUAUUGAUAUCAAAAUCAAUCAUUAUUAACCAUAGAACGACAAGACGAUAAUGACCACCAUUACAUGGUUGAAACAUCAAAUUUUUAACAGCUAGACAUUUCAUAAUGCAAGAUGUUCCAUCAAGCACAAGAUCAUACCACUCGACCUUUCCCCAUAUUUCUCCUCCUUCGCGCCUUUCGAGGGCAAUCUCUGCACACCAAAUUUCU